rnacentral:misc_RNA from 1 species
AAAGUCGUAACAAGGUUUCCGUAGGUGAACCUGCGGAAGGAUCAUUAACAAGUUGAUGGGGGGUGUGGUUUUGUAUCAUGCCUCUACAUUUGCGCGCUCUUUCGGGAGCGUUGGGUGGUGGUGGUGAUGGUGAUUACAUGAACUGUGAUCACAUGAUCACUAUCCCUCGAACAUUCACACGUUUGCUGGUUGUCUGUCAUAUCACACAAAAACACAACUUUUAACAAUGGAUCUCUUGGCUCUC